CCUACGGGUGGCAGCAGUGGGGGAUAUUGGACAAUGGGGGGAACCCUGAUCCAGCGACGCCGCGUGAGUGAAGAAGUAUUUCGGUAUGUAAAGCUCUGUCAGCAGGGAAGAAAGAAAUGACGGUACCUGACCAAGAAGCCCCGGCUAACUACGUGCCAGCAGCCGCGGUAAUACGUAGGGGGCAAGCGUUAUCCGGAAUUACUGGGUGUAAAGGGAGCGUAGACGGUUAAGUAAGUCUGGAGUGAAAGGCCGGGGCCCAACCCCGGGACUGCUCUGGAAACUAUUGAACUUGAGUGCAGGAGAGGUAAGCGGAAUUCCUAGUGUAGCGGUGAAAUGCGUAGAUAUCACGCAGAACCCCGAUUGCGAAGGCAGCGUACCGGCCGGUCACUGACGCUGAGGCACGAAAGCGCGGGUAUCGAACAGGAUUAGAUACCCUGGUAGUC
rnacentral:rRNA from 1 species